AAGGAUGUAGCUCAGUGGUAGAGGGCAUGCUUAUCAUACACAUGGCCCUGGGUUCAAUCCCCAGUAUCUCCA
rnacentral:tRNA from 1 species